GGGCCCUAUCACGUGGAAAGACCUGUUCUCGUACGGUUACCGAAGUUAAGCAACGUCGAGCCUGGUUAGUAGCUAGAUGGGUGACCGCUUUGGGAAUACCAAGUUAUG